rnacentral:rRNA from 1 species
GACGAACGCUGGCGGCGUGCUUAACACAUGCAAGUCGAACGGAAAGGCCCUGCUUUUGUGGGGUGCUCGAGUGGCGAACGCGUGAGUAACACGUGAGUAACCUGCCCUUGUCUUUGGGAUAACUUCAGGAAACUGGGGAUCAUACCCGAUAGGAGCACCUGCUGCACGGUGGGGGUUGGAAAGUUUCGGCGGUUGGGGAUGGACUCGCGGCUUAUCAGCUUGUUGGUGGGGUAGUGGCUUACCAAGGCUUUGACGGGUAGCCGGCCUUAGAGGGGGAACGGCGACAAUGGGACUAAGAUACGGCGCAGAAGGGUACGGUAGGCAGCAGGGGGGAAUAUUGCGCAGUGGGCGGGAGCCUGUGGCAGCGACGCCGCGUGCGUGAUGACGGCCUACUGGUUGUGAACCGCUGUCGCCGGAGACGAGGCGUGAGUGACGGUAAUGGGUAAAGAAGCAACGGCUAACUACGUG